CGCUGGCGGCACGCCUAACACAUGCAAGUCGAACGCAGUAGCAAUACUGAGUGGCAAACGGGUGAGUAUAAUGUGGGAAUCUGCCUUUUGGUUUGGAAUAACACGGGGAAACUUGUGCUAAUACCGAAUAAGCCCUUACGGGGAAAGUUUUAACGCCGAAAGAUGAGCCCGCACUUGAUUAGCUAGUUGGUAAGGUAAAAGCUUACCAAGGCAAUGAUCAAUAGCUGUUCUUAGAGGAAGACCAGCCACAUUGGGACUGAGACACGGCCCAGACUCCUACGGGAGGCAGCAGUGGGGAAUCUUGCACAAUGGGGGAAACCCUGAUGCAGCGAUGCCGCGUGAGUGAAGAAGGCCUUUGGGUUGUAAAACUCUUUCGUCGGGGAAGAAAAUGACUGUACCCGAAUAAGAAGGUCCGGCUAACUUCGUGCCAGCAGCCGCGGUAAUACGAAGGGACCUAGCGUAGUUCGGAAUUACUGGGCUUAAAGAGCUCGUAGGUGGUUAAAAAAGUUGAUGGUGAAAUCCCAAGGCUUAACCUUGGAACUGCCAUCAAAACUUUUUAGCUAGAGUGUGAUAGAGGUAAGUGGAAUUUCUAGUGUAGAGGUGAAAUUCGUAGAUAUUAGAAAGAACACCAAAUGCGAAGGCAACUUACUGGGUCACUACUGACACUGAGGAGCGAAAGCAUGGGUAGCGAAGAGGAUUAGAUACCCUCGUAGUCCAUGCCGUAAACGAUGUGUGCUAGACGUUGGAAAUAUAUUUUUCAGUGUCGCAGCGAAAGCAUUAAGCACACCGCCUGGGGAGUACGACCGC
rnacentral:rRNA from 1 species